rnacentral:lncRNA from 1 species
AAAAAAAUAAAUUUAAAUUUUAAAAAUUUAUUUACAUCUUAUAAUUGAUAUGACAAAGUACGUAUAAUUUCUUUACCUUUCAAUAGGAUACAUUCAUCGAUAAUGUACCGGUACGAUCAAAAGAGCUUCCUUUGGAAGAUGAACAGCCAGAUGCACCAUAAUAUCAAAAAAUAAUGAUGAUUUUUUUUUAAAUUUAUAAAGAAUGGGUACGAUAUCCUUCUCUGAUCUCUCAAGUAAGUUAAUCUUCAAUUUUUGACAAUACAAUUCUCGGAAGAACACUCCCAGCUCAAUCAAUGCAGUUUGACCAUCACCAUCCAAAUAGCCAC